rnacentral:rRNA from 1 species
UUGACCUCGGAUCAGGUAGGAAUACCCGCUGAACUUAAGCAUAUCAAUAAGCGGAGGAAAAGAAACCAACAGGGAUUGCCUCAGUAACGGCGAGUGAAGCGGCAACAGCUCAAAUUUGAAAUCUGGCCGCAAGGUCCGAGUUGUAAUUUGUAGAGGAUGCUUUUGGCAAGGUGCCUUCCGAGUUCCCUGGAACGGGACGCCAUAGAGGGUGAGAGCCCCGUACGGUAGGACCACCGAGCCUCUGUAAAGCUCCUUCGACGAGUCGAGUAGUUUGGGAAUGCUGCUCUAAAUGGGAGGUGUACGUCUUCUAAAGCUAAAUACCGGCCAGAGACCGAUAGCGCACAAGUAGAGUGAUCGAAAGAUGAAAAGCACUUUGAAAAGAGGGUUAAAAAGUACGUGAAAUUGUUGAAAGGGAAGCAUUUAUGACCAGACUUGGGCUUGGUUGAACAUCCGGCGUUCUCGCCGGUGCACUCUGCCAGUCCAGGCCAGCAUCAGUUUGCUCCGGGGGAUAAAGGCGGCGGGAAUGUGGCUCUCUCCGGGGAGUGUUAUAGCCCGCCGUGUAAUGCCCUGGGGCGGACUGAGAACGCG